UGCCAGCCGCCGCGGUAACACGGGGGGCGCAAGCGUUAUUCGGAAUUAUUGGGCGUAAAGGGCGCGCAGGCGGUCUUGUCCGUCAGGUGUGAAAGCUCGGGGCUCAACCCCGGAAGUGCACUUGAAACAGCAAGACUUGAAUACGGUAGAGGAGAGAGGAAUUUUACAUGUAGCGGUGAAAUGCACAGAUAUGUAAAGGAACACCGAUAACGAAGGUAGCUUACUGGGCUAUUACUGACGCUGAGGUACGAAAGCGUGGGGAGCAAACAGGAUUAGAUA
rnacentral:rRNA from 1 species